GGUCAAGCUACAAAGAGCUAACGGUG
rnacentral:rRNA from 3 species